UUAAAACGCCCGUAGUAUACCUAAGAGUGGGUGUGUAGCAAUUAGUUUUGCCAGAGGACGGUUGGCGAGAGUUUAUCACUCUUGUUUGCCUACUUUUGGUAGACUUUAGUCGGGCUGGACCUUUGGUCCUCGUCUGACAGUUGCUACGUGCUUACUUACCACGGUUCAUCCGUGAGGCCCUUGGCUUGCAACUGUAAAUAAAUCGUUGUGCUUAAAGCGGGCUAUGAUACUCUGCCAGAGCGAUUUAGCAUGGGACUGCAGAGUAGCUGUAUUUGGAUGAAGGUUGUGUUUCGGCAUGGCUGGAGUCUGGUACAGCGCUUGUAAUGGAGCUCAGGGUGAGGCCCCGGGUACCAUGAGGCUAGAGGUGAAAUUCUGAGACCCUCAUGUGACCAACUAAGGCGAAAGCUGUCGUGGGCCACCACAAGCUCGUCUAUCAGGGACGAAAGUUGGGGGAUCGAAGACGAUUAGAUACCGUCGUAGUCCCAACUAUAAACGAUACCAACCGAGUAUUUGGGAAGACACUAUCCCAGCGAUCUUCUCAGAACUCAAGGGAAACCUUAAGUCUUUGGGUUCUGGGGGGAGUAUAGUCGCAAGACCGAAACUUAAAGGAAUUGACGGAAAGGCACCACC
rnacentral:rRNA from 1 species